GGCGGGGUGGGCUGCGUGGGGCGGGCGGCGUGCUCAGUCGGGCCGUUGGUGUGUUGGUGUGCGGGUGCCCACUUCGCCUCGCUCGUGCCGUCCGUAGGUGAUCGCUCGCUCGCUCCACGACGCUGUUCACGGACGGAAUUGACGGAGUUUCGCAGAAAGAACUGAAGGAGAAAGAACGAAAAGGACGAUGCACUGAGAGACAACAGCUCUCCUCUGUUUAGUCUUGUCACUCUUCUCUGAAUUUCGUUCGUUUGCAAAUUACUUCGUUCAGCUCGAGAAGCCUCUACCAGCUACACUCAACAUGGACGGUCGAAUUAAAUUACUGCUGUUAUCCCUGGCCAUCGCGGGGCCGUGGCGUCGAGCGAAGAGAGCGAGGAGAGACAAGCGAAGUGGGAGCGGCGUGGAAGACUGGACAAAUCCUGCGACGGUUACACGCGUUCCCACAGCACCUACUUCAGGAACCCGAAUUUCCCUAAGAAUGACACGGAGGAACGUAUGUGUCCCUUGACGGUGGAGGUCGGGCGCGACGUGUGUGCUGUCAGACUGAGCUUCGAGAAGUUUGAACUGUCACCCUUUACUGAAGGUGUCUGUAUCGGCGACCACCUGACUAUCCUGGGCACUUUGGAAGGCUCCACCACGCCAUAUGCGGCAACAUGACCGGAUGACGAGUAUGUAUUAUGGGCGGAUA